AUACGUAGGGGGCGAGCGUUGUCCGGAAUGAUUGGGCGUAAAGGGCGCGUAGGCGGCCCGGUAAGUCUGGAGUGAAAGUCCUGCUUUUAAGGUGGGAAUUGCUUUGGAUACUGUCGGGCUUGAGCGCAGGAGAGGUAAGUGGAAUUCCCAGUGUAGCGGUGAAAUGCGUAGAGAUUGGGAGGAACACCAGUGGCGAAGGCGACUUACUGGACUGUAACUGACGCUGAGGCUCGAAAGUGUGGGGAGCAAACAGGAUUAGAUACCCUGGUAGUCCACACUGUAAACGAUGACAACUAAAUAUUGCCGCGAGGCAGUGUUGAAGCUAACGCAUUUAGUUGUCCGCCUGGGGAGUACGGUCGCAAGACUGAAACUUAAAGGAAUUUGCGGGG
rnacentral:rRNA from 1 species